UACCUGGUUGAUCCUGCCAGUAGUCAUAUGCUUGUCUCAAGAUUAAGCCAUGCAUGUCUAAGUACAUACUGUUUAUAAAGUGAAACCGCGAAUGGCUCAUUAAAUCAGUGGCCACGGCCCCUAGCGAAUCUACCAUCUUUUUGUGUCCAAACAAGAACUUCAAAUCCUCAAAUUGUAGCAAAUACUCGUUUUCUAUUUUUUAUUCAUUGUUUCAACCCGGAAGCGCGAAACACGAAUACAUGAGUCACUAGAGAUAAGCACUUUCUUUGGAAGUCAUUUAAUCUACCUGAAAAGAUAAGAUUAACUUUUCCUGCCAUGCUUUCCAAAGGCUUUCAAAAUUUAUGCUUAGGAAAUUUUUUCAAAGAGUUACUACACUAAUUUGUCUGUAUCAAUUGAUUGUGAUGUGUUUAAAGUCUUAAAAAUUACCAGCAUAUUUUUCGGACCUCAGGUGAUAACAAAAUGAUAAAAUUGAACGAAGUCCGUAAACGGAUUAAGAAUUACAUGACUUGAAACUAACGCAUGGUAAAUUCCGUUCAAAACUUUAGCAUUUUCGCUGAUUGAGGCGCAAGGAAUUAAUGAAAAAAUCUAGCAAACUAAUCGUGCUAUUUUUCUGAAAUUUAAUUAUUAUAAAUAUAUCCCUAUUAUAAUCAUUGCUAGGAAAUUUCAAGUCUAUUGAACAAAUGGUUUCUGAGAAAAUAGAUGAAGUAAAUUGUCCAAUAAUUUAAGCCCACAGGUUAAUACAUGAACAAGUGUUCCAACCUCAGCUUGCUGACGGAAGGAUCGCAUUUAUUAGUACAAGACCAAUGAUUCUUAUUCACCUAGAACCCUGUUCAGUGAUUUCGGUCGCUGUCUAAGGACUAGCAGUGGGGAUCUUAGCAACUUCGGUUGCAUUUCUUGUGAUGACUCUGAAUAACUGAGCAAAUCGUAUGGCCUCUGAGCCGACGAUGUAUCCCUCAAGCAACUGCCUUAUCAACUGUCGAUGGUAGGUUAUGCGCCUACCAUGGUUGUAACGGGUAACGGGGAAUUAGGGUUCGAUUCCGGAGAGGGAGCCUGAGAAACGGCUACCACAUCUAAGGAAGGCAGCAGGCGCGCAAAUUACACAAUCCCAGUACGGGGAUGUAGUGACGAAAAAUAACAAUACGGGACUCUAUUGAGGCCCCGUAAUUGGAAUGAGUACAAUUUAAAUCCUUUAACGAGGAUCUAUUGGAGGGCAAGUCUGGUGCCAGCAGCCGCGGUAAUUCCAGCUCCAAUAGCGUAUAUUAAAGUUGCUGCGGUUAAAAAGCUCGUAGUUGGAUUUCAGUCGAACCUAUGGGGUCCACUGAUUAAAGGGUUAGAUGGUGAUGUUAGGUUUCUUGCUUGUGUCUACGGAUGCUUGCUUGAACCUUCAUUCCUCUUUCCUGGUGGUUACAUUCAUAGUGUUUAGACAGAAAAUUGCUCGAUAUUUGCUAUCAAUGCUCUUUACCGAGUGUUGAUUCAAGCGAUCGAGACUUUUACCUUGAAAAAAUCAGAGUGCUCAAAGCAGGCGUCCAAAACCUCGAAAGAGGUGCCUAAAAACGGUAUGGUCAACCAUCUAUAUGAUGCGUACCACUACCUUAACUUGAAUGAUCUUGCAUGGAAUAAUGGAAUAGGACCUUGGUUCUAUUUUGUUGGUCUUAAGAAUCCAAGGUAAUGAUUAAGAGGGACAGACGGGGGCAUUUGUAUUGCGGCGCUAGAGGUGAAAUUCUUGGACCGUCGCAAGACAAACUACAGCGAAAGCAUUUGCCAAGAAUGUUUUCAUUAAUCAAGAACGAAAGUUAGAGGUUCGAAGGCGAUCAGAUACCGCCCUAGUUCUAACCAUAAACGAUGCCAACCAGCGAUCAUUCUGAGUAACUAAUUUCAUGACUCGAAUGGAAGCUUCCGGGAAACCAAAGUUUUUGGGUUCCGGGGGAAGUAUGGUUGCAAAGCUGAAACUUAAAGGAAUUGACGGAAGGGCACCACCAGGAGUGGAGCUUGCGGCUUAAUUUGACUCAACACGGGAAAACUCACCCGGCCCGGACACUGAGAGGAUUGACAGAUUGAGAGCUCUUUCUUGAUUCAGUGGGUGGUGGUGCAUGGCCGUUCUUAGUUGGUGGAGUGAUUUGUCUGGUUAAUUCCGAUAACGAACGAGACUCUAGCCUACUAAAUAGACUUGCAGUUUACACUGCAGUACUCCCCCUUAGUCAACCUGUGGGUGGUAGUAUCUCUUGAUGGUUUCGGCUGUUGAGGGCUCUGCUGCUAUUAGCCUACAGAAUUGGCUAGGGUAAGGAUGCUGUAGCACUGUAAGGACUUCUUAGAGGGACAAGCGGCGCUCGCAGCCGCACGAAACAGAGCAAUAACAGGUCUGUGAUGCCCUUAGAUGUCCGGGGCCGCACGCGUGCUACACUGAAGUGGUCAUCGUGCAUACUGUUUCCUGCUCCGAAAGGAGUGGGUAACCGCUUGAACCCAUUUCGUGAUGGGGAUUGGGCAUUGUAAUUAUUGCCCAUGAACGAGGAAUUCCCAGUAAGCGUGAGUCAUUAGCUUGCGUUGAUUACGUCCCUGCCCUUUGUACACACCGCCCGUCGCUACUACCGAUUGAAUGAUUUAGUGAGGACUUCGGACUGGUCAAUCCAGACCAUUGGGAAACUAGUGGUCGGAUUGGCUGGAAAGAUGUUCAAACUUGAUCAUUUAGAGGAAGUAAAAGUCGUAACAAGGUUUCCGUAGGUGAACCUGCGGAAGGAUCAUUA
rfam:Tetranychus urticae London genomic scaffold, scaffold_42